UUCUUUCUUUUCUUUCUUUCUUUCUUUCUUUUUCUUUCUUUCUCUCUCUCUCUCUCUCUCUCUCUCCUUCCUUCCUUCCUUCCUUUCUUCCUUUAUUUCCGUCAUCUUCCUUUUUAACCUACAAGGUAGUCUGCUGCAUCUCCUGUUCUAUACUUAACUAUUUUUUUUAAACAAAUUAUUCAAAACUUAUAUUGUAAAUCAGUUUAUGUGAAUCAGUCUGUUAGUAAACACUAACUUGCCAUGGUGUUUCUUGAACAAUUAUUUUUAUGUCCAAUUAUUUACUAAAAUCGAAUCAAUCCUCUAUCGAAGGACAGUUACAUUCUCCAAUAUUUUGUACGGUUGAUCCUUGAAUAACAUGGGGCUUGGUUGGGGCACUGACCGGUCACACAGAUGAAAUCUGAGUAUAACCUUAUAGUCAGCCCUCCACAUCCAUGGUUUCUCCAAAUUUGUGGUUCUGCAUCUGCAGAUUCAACCAACCACGGGCUGUAGAGUACUAUAGUAUAUUUUUAUUGAAAAAAAUCCACACAUACAUGGACCCUCCCAGUUCAAAUUCAAGUUGUCAAGUGUCAACUGUACAUAUAAACCAUGCUAAAAUGAAUGUUCACAUUUAAUGACACAUUUAAAUACAUGAAAAAAAUUUUAGAUGUGUCAUAUCUUAUAUAUCCCAGUAUAUAUAUCUGUGGAAAGAAUCCUAGGAUUAGAAUGGCUGGUAUAAAGAAGGGUGCAUGCACUUGUCAUUUUUGAAAAAUAUUGUCAAAUAUCUGAUAUUAAUUGAGACCUUUUACUAUUACAAUUUUAAAAUUAUUUUAUUACAAUUAAAUUUAGAAAAUCUUUUCGUUUAUGAUUUUUGAGCUUUAGUAUGACCCAAGUCAUACUAAAAGAAUUUUUUCAAGUCCAAACUUUAAAUCUAUCAUUUGAGAAUUUUGAUGUUUUAUUAUUUUAUUUAUUUUUAUAGUGUGUGUUAUUUAACUUAUUAUUUUAAUUAUGUAACCUACUUUGUUUAUUUUGUGUAAAGCGUGAUGUAGAAAUCCAAUUUAUUUUUUCCAGAUGUCUACUCAAGUGGCAUAACCCACUUAUUGACUAAUAUGCUUUUAUUUUAGAUUUAAAAUAAUAUCUUUAUUAUCCUAUUUAAUCAUCGAUGUUGUUUUCUUUCUUGUCUCUUCUUUUCUAAUGCCUCUUUUGUUGACAAAGAAAGUUAGAUGUAUGCAUCCACAAAAUAUCACACAAAUCACUACACAUGCAUCCCCAUAUAAUAGAGCAUGAAAACCAUGAGCCUUGUAUGGUAAAGGAGCGAUGAGAAGGAUUUAUUAUUAUUAUUAUUAUUAUUAUUAUUACUAUUAUUAUUACUACUACUACUAUUGGCUGUGGCAUGCAGCAGCUUCAAGUGGGAUCUCAGUUCCCAAACCAGAGAUUGAACCCAGACCCUAGCAGUGAAAAUGUCAAAUCCUAACCCCUAAACUGCCAGGAAACUCCUGAGAAGGAUUUAUAAAUGCUAUGAAAUCCAAAAAAGUCCAGAGGAAUAGAAAUUAAAAUGAGAGUUAUGCUGGGUAACAGGAUCUGUGAAGGCCACAAUCAAGAGCAUCUUUUUUCCCUACUCAGGUUAUGAAGCAAAAUUUCUCUUUUAUUACCCAUAGAGGUGAGACUAGAAGACAUGGCUUCAGGGCUGUUAAGAAAGAGGGUUUUCUAAUCCUGGGUGGUUAGAUUUAAUCACCCAGUCAAGGCAACAAAAGAUAGUGGAAGCUUCCCUGGUGAAGAACCAUUUCCCUUAGGAGUAGCAGCAAAACUAACGCUCACUGCAAGUAUCCUUCUCCCUAGAGGAAUGGAUCGAAGAGAACAAAGCUUGUCCAGAUGGUUUUAAACAGAAACAUUGCUCCAGGGAACUCAGGCGAAAGCAGACUAAAUAAAGGGAUAGAGAGACGCAAAAGGGGUGUCAAAAAUCCUUCUCUAGGAAAUCGAGAGGAGGAAAAAUUGUUUCUUCUAGUAUUAGACUUCUAGGCUUAAUGAAUGAUGAGAGAAAUGAUCCCUGAAAUAGAACAAGAAGGCAUCAGUUACAGUGCGUUAAACAAUUAAGUGUCUGAUGGGAUGGGUAAGGAAGGAAGGAUGAUCAAGUGGGCAUGGUUAGGAAGGAUAUGAGGAGGCAAGCUUUUGGUGUUCUAGAAAUGGGAGAGCAUUUGCAGAGAAGUUUUAGAAAUAUGUAGAUUAAAAACAAACUUGAAUGUUGGUGACCACAAAGAAGAAAAGCAUGAUAAAUCUUUUCCUCAUUUCAACUGUAUCCAAAAGGAAGUCUAUAAUGAUUAUGUUCAUUGUUCAGCUUUAGAGAUUAAAAUUGCACACUGAUUGUGAACAGUUCUCAUCCAGAUACACGCAUGCACACACACACACACACACACAGUGAUUUGAUAGAGGGAAAGGGAGAAUGCCAUUGCACUCCAGUCCGUUACUGAAUAACAUGUCACAUGUCAUUCAUGUUGGUUAUUUCCACACUAACAGAGGAGCCUCAGCUCAACUACUCCUGGCCUCCUCCAUUUUCAUUUUUCUCCUAAGUGUCUGAGCUUUGCUUUUUUACGUCAAAACAUGCUUUGUUGUUUUUGUUUAGAAAACAAAACAUUACAGAACUACAAAAAUCUGAUCUUUGAAAGGUGGAGAAUUUACUGUAUCCCUUGAGAUAAUCACUGUUAUCUAUAAUACUGACAUAAUUCUGGAAAUUCUGGAAUACCACUAAGGUUCAAAUAUGUAAUGGGCUGCUUGCAAUAGUAUUUGAAUGGUUGAUUACAGAAUGAAAAGAAAAAGGCAGCAAACAUGGAGCUGUGUCUAGUGGUCUCCACAAGCACCAUGUUUUUGCUUUUCUAGCUAUGAUGCUUAUGCAAAUUCUAUGACUUCCUUGAGUUUCUACUUAUACAAAUUUGAAAUAUGUAUUAUAUAUAUUAUAUAUAAGUAUGUAUUUAGAGGAGUCUCAUAUGUUUUAUAUGAAAAGAUACCUACACAAUUUUCUACUUUAGAGCAAGACUAAAAGGCAUGGUCAUACCUGUUGGAAACUACUGAAUACAAUAUUUACAUGCUGUUCUUUCAAUAAAGAUGAUUCUCAUUCUCCAAAUAUAAAUUAAUUCGUCAGUACUUGUUAGAUGAAUAUUUUCAGGAUUAUCUUGCCUUGGAGCCUGAGGAUAGCCAAAGGAGCAAGGAUGGCAGCAGCUUUAAGCUCUUCCCAAAGCAUGUUGCCUCAGAAUAACCACCAAGUAGUUCUCUCAGUGUAGACUAAAUAAGUACUAGGUUGUCAGGUCCACAGAGUUUUUGCCAAUUUAUAUGGAUCCCUGGGAAUUGACUCAGCAUCUUUGGCAGAACUAAUCUAAUGUUGUUUAUAGGAUAGUGAACUGUUGCUCCCUCCUCCUCCUCUUCUUAAUGGCUAUGUAGUACUUCCUUAUACAAUGUAUAAUAACAGCCAAUCAAUGACUAUUGUUUCCGUUAUUUGGGAUAUUAUGAACACUGCUUUGUUAAAUAUCUUUAUACAUAGAUCUGUGUUUUGUGAUUUUUUCCCCUCAAGAUCUAUUUCUUUCAAUAGCAUAUCUGUGCCAAAAGGCAUGUAUAUUUUUAGAGUUUAUUGCUAUAUUGCCUCCUAGACACUUGUUAUUAACUACCAAUUCAAUUUUUAGGAUAUACUUUUUAUUUAAAUGCAUGCUAACACUAGUCGUACUAUUUUUCUUCCUUGUUAGUCUAAUUAUUGUAUUAUACAUUUUAACGAAAUCUUCUUUGAUUACUAAUAAGGUUAGGAAUUUAAAAAAUUUUACCAAUCAUAUUUCCUCUUUUGUUAUUAAUUUUAUUUGUCAAUUUUUCUAUUUGAUAUUCAUCUAUCAUUGAUUUUUAGGAACUCUUUGUAUAUUAAUGAUGAAAAUCCAUUGGUGAUAUUAAUGAUACACUAAAAAUGCUUCUACAAGUUAUUUUUUAUUUUUUUCUUUCAAAUUAUUUUGUUUUUAUUUUUUGCUUAGCUUUACUUUAUAACACUGUGUAGGUUUAAAGCAUACAAGGAAGUUAUUUGGUACAUUUAUAUAUUACAAAGUGAUUACAACCAUAGCAUUAGCUAACACCUCCAUCCCAUCACACAUCCAAGUUUAUCCUUUGUCUUAACUAUUUACAGUGUUUUUCAUGUUUACAUAGAAAAAUAUAUUAAUUUUCCACAUAUUUAUCUAUGUGACAAGCUUAAAUGAAUGUUUUCCAUCCCCACAUUAUUUAGCCAUAUGUAUUUUCUUCUGGUACUUUUCUUUUUUCAUUUAAAUUUAUAAUAUAUCUGGAUUUCUUUUGAUGUAAGAAUGUUAGGAGUCCAUUUGUUUCUUUACAAACUUGAUAAUAGGAAAACUUUUUGACUGUCAGAGGGGAACUUAAUACUACAGACUAUUUGCAAAUUUCAGGAAAAAAAAACAACCGCCUGUCAUCUAAUCUGAUUUCUUUACAAACUGUUUAACAGCAUUUUGUCAUUUUGUUUCUUCAAUAAAUUGACUGAAAAUUGACUGGCUAGUGUGAGGAAGAAGAGGAAAUGGUUAACUAAUUCUGGCCUUCUUUCAAGUGAACUAGCUCCUUCUCAGAUUUUUAUCUCAGUUUUUUAGGCAAACUUCAGUGAUUUUUUUUUCUUCUUUUGAUGAUCCCAGUGAGUUGUUUUAAAGCAUAUUCUGGAAAUUUGCAGUUCAAAACAUACAAGCUUGGAGUUCCCUUCGUGGAGCAGGGGAAACGAAUUUGACUAAGAACCAGGAGGUUGCGGGUUCGAUCCCUGGCCUUGCUCGGUGGGUUGAGGAUCUGGCGUUGCCAUGAGCUGUGGUGUAGGUCACAGAUGCGGCUUGGAUCUGGCAUUGCUGUGGCUGUGGCAUAAGCCAGCAGCUAUAGUUCCGAAUGGACCCCUAGCCUGGGAACGUCCAUAUGCUGCAGGUGCAGCCCUAAAAAGACAAAAAACAAAAAGCAAAAACAAAAACCAACCCACACAGGCUUCAUUCCCUUGGUCCCUCUCUGUUACUCUCUGUUGUAAGGCAAAGACAACGUAACGUCCCUUACUAAGGCCAAUUGCUAAUUUUCCUUAGUGUGCGUCCCCUUUCAGAGAAAACUAAACCAAGUCUUUCUCUCCAUGGAGGUCUGGGGCAAAGAUAGCAUCUCCAUCUCCCUGCUUCAUCGAUUCACAUAUUCUGUUCAGCUUUCAAAGCAGCAUGGAGCUCAUCUUUCCUUAUCAGAGUCAGGCAUUCCUCAGGGUGCCUUUGAGCAAUCACAGAGCACUAGGGUGGCUACACUCCAGAGACUCCCGCCUGGUGGACUCUGAAUAGAAUUGCCCAACAGAGACCCAGUUCUCAUUCUUACCACGCCAUUUCAUUACCUUUCAGUUCUUGCCAAAGCCCCUGAAUCUUACAGUAUUUCCUGUUUUGCAUCUGCACCAAGUGAUGAUAAUGCUGAUGUAUUCCACCAGGAGAUUGUUAGAUUAGCUAAUUAAUGGUCACAAAGAGCCUUUUAAAUGGAAAGUGCCAAAUGUCUUCCCCGGUAUGAAGCAAAAUCAUUUUGCUUGUCUUUUUAUCUGCCCUUUGUUCUCUGUCACUCACUUUCAGAGUGUUUAGGUUCACCUACUUUUCAAUUCAAUUCCUUCCAAAAGACUUUUAAAUACAAUCCAACUACUUUAGUUCCCAAUUAGGGGUAAGGAAGUGAUCCUGCUUUUAUAGCUCAGUGCCUGGGGGACAUAACUCAUAAGGUGUUUCUGAUUCACCAGUCACUGGAAAGUUUAAAAAGUCUAAAGCAAAAGGCGCAACAUAUAUCAAAAGGACACUUCAAGAGAUUAAAAGUCAAAUUAUCAGAAACCUCAGUUAACUAGAAAACAUUUUUCCUGUCAAUUCAGCUUUCAUGAAACAAAGAGAUCAUACAUUUGAUUUAAAAGUAUACAUACAGAGGACCUGAAUUGACAUUCUUUCAAAAAUAUACAGACGACUGAGACACAUAAAAAGAUGCUCAACAUUAGGAAUCAUCAGGGAAAUGCAAAGCAAAAGAUGCAACAUCAUAACUGUCGCAAUGGCUAGUAUCAAAAAGACAACAAAUGAUGGAGUUGCUGUUGUGACGCAGCAGAAAUAAAUCCAACUAGGAUCCAUGAGGACGAAGUUUGGAUCCCUGGCCUUGCCCAGUGGAUCUGGCAUUGCUGUGGCUGUGGUGUAGUCCAGUGGCUACAACUCCAAUUCAUCCCCUAGCCUGGGAACCUCCAUNNNNNNNNNNNNNNNNNNNNNNAAAAAAAAAAAAAAAAAAAAAAAAAAAA
rnacentral:lncRNA from 1 species